AGCCUACGGGGGGCAGCAGUGGGGGAUAUUGCACAAUGGGGGGAACCCUGAUGCAGCGACGCCGCGUGGGUGAAGGAGUAUUUCGGUAUGUAAAGCCCUAUCGGCAGGGAAGAAGCAAGACGGUACCUGACUAAGAAGCCCCGGCUAACUACGUGCCAGCAGCCGCGGUAAUACGUAGGGGGCGAGCGUUAUCCGGAUUUACUGGGUGUAAAGGGAGCGUAGGCGGCAAGGUAAGCCAGAAGUGAAAGCCCGCGGCUCAACUGCGGGACUGCUUUUGGAACUAUCUAGCUAGAUUGCAGG
rnacentral:rRNA from 1 species